rnacentral:misc_RNA from 1 species
GAUGAAGAACGUAGCGAAAUGCGAUAAGUAGUGUGAAUUGCAGAAUUCCGUGAAUCAUUGAAUCUUUGAACGCACAUUGCGCCUCCUGGUAAUCCGUGAGGCAUGCCUGUCCGAGCGUCGGUAAAAAGCAACUCGGCCGCGGCUGGCGGUUGGUGAUGGAGGAAGAGCACGUCUCGUUGUCGGUCUCCCCUCCCAAAAUCAACGGCGGAAUGUCACUGGCACUCGGUGUUGUAGUAUUAUUCGCCGAUCACCCAUUGUUGUUCCUGCCGCCCAAACCCCCACAAUUCUCUUGAUUGACCUCGGAUCAGGUAGGGAUACCCGCUGAACUUAAGCAUAUCAAUAAGCGGAGGA